UGGAUCCAAACUACAAGAAAGAAGAUUCCACCUAAACAUUAGGAAGAACUUCCUGACAGUAAGAGCUGUUCGACAGUGGAAUUUGCUGUCAAGGAGUGUGGUGGAGUUUCCUUCUUUGGAGGUCUUUAAGCAGAGGCUUGACAACCAUAUGUCAGGAGUGCUCUGAUGGUGUUUCCUGCUUGGCAGGGGGUUGGACUCGAUGACCCUUGUGGUCUCUUCCAACUCUAUGAUUCUAUGAUUCUAUGAUUCUAUGAACCAGC